rnacentral:lncRNA from 1 species
GGAUGAGGGGGUGGUCGUGGUGGCUUUAAUAAAUUUCAAGAUCAAGGGCCUCCAGAACAUGUCGUCUUGUUUGGAGAGUUCAUGCAUCUCUGUGAAGAUGACAUCAUUUGUAAAUGUACCACAGAGGGAAACACGGUACCUUACUUCAAUGCUCCUGUUUAUUUAGAAAACAAAGAACAAAUCAGGAAAGUGGAUGGGAUGUUUGGACAACUUAGAGAUUUUUAUUUUUCAGUUAAAUUGUCAAAAAACAUGAAGGUAUCUUCCUUUAAAAAGCUACAGAAGUUUUAUAUAACCCAUAUAAGCUGCUGCCACUGCAGAGGUUUCUGCCUCGUCAUACUGGUGAGAAAGGACCUCCCAGAGGUGGCAGUGGUGGCAGCAGGGGAGGUCUAGGAGGAGGAAGAGGAGGUGGUGGUUUUAAAGGAGGAAGAGGAGGAGGUGGGGGCUGCAGAGGAGGAAGAGGGGGUGGUGGAUUCCGAGGA